CCCUUAGAUGUCUUGGGCCGCACGCGCGCUACACUGACAUGUUCAACAAGCCUCCUAGUUCGACAGGAUUUGGGAAAUCUUUGAACGCAUGUCGUGAUAGGGAUAGAUCAUUGCAAUUAUUGAUCUUGAACGAGGAAUUCCUAGUAAACGCGAGUCAUCAGCUCGCAUUGAUUACGUCCCUGCCCUUUGUACACACCGCCCGUCGCACCUACCGAUUGAAUGUUUCGGUGAAGAUUCCGGAUAGGACUUUUUUGAUUUAUUUCAAUUUUGUCUUAAAAGCUAUCUAAACCUCAACAUUUAGAGGAAGGUGAAGUCGUAACA
rnacentral:rRNA from 1 species